CAAAUAUCUAAGGGGGCAUUCUGAUGUCAGAUUUGAUGGAAGUGAUCUUGAUUUUGAGAUAUUAAAGAAGCAAGAGGAUGAAUCUGAUGAACUGUCUUCGUGUAACCCAUGCAGCAUGAAACUAGAAUCAGAAGUUGAGUGCAGUGACAUUCAAACUGAAGACAAAAUGAUAGAUUUUUCCAUCAAUGAAAAUAUUUUAAUGAAGAUUGAGGAUUUGGAAUUAAAUCAAAGAACUGAAGAUCCAUCAACAAUCAAUUCCGAAUUUGAAAGUAUGUGGCCCACAUUGAAGUAUCAAAUGACAAAACUUACAGAUGAUAAUCUGCACCAGUUAGAAGAGUUGGUCCAAAGAAAUGAUGAAAAGAGAGAAACCAUUAAAAGGCUUCAGUUAGAGGUGGAAACUUUGAAGCGCGAGAACAAGGCCCUCCAGAUUUCGUCAAGGUUCUCCAAUGCUGAUUCAG
rnacentral:lncRNA from 1 species